rnacentral:rRNA from 1 species
CCUACGGGAGACAGCAGUGAGGAAUAUUGGUCAAUGGGCUUACGCCUGAACCAGCCAAGUCGCGUGAGGGAAGACUGCCCUAUGGGUUGUAAACCUCUUUUGUCAGGGAGCAAUUGGCGCUACGUGUAGCGUUAUCGAUAGUACCUGACGAAAAUGCAUCGGCUAAUUCCGUGCCAGCACCCGCGGUAUUACGGAGGAUGCGAGCGUUAUCCGGAUUUAUGGGGUUAAAGGGGUCCGUAGGCGGAAUGCCAAGUCAGCGGUAAAAUCGCGGGGCUCAACCUCGCUCCGCCGUUGAAACUGGCGUUCUUGAGUGGGCGAGAAGUAUGCGGAAUGCGUGGUGUAGCGGUGAAAUGCAUAGAUAUCACGCAGAACUCCGAUUGCGAAGGCAGCAUACCGGCGCCCAACUGACGCUGAAGCACGAAAGCGUGGGUAUCGAACAGGAUUAGAUACCCCAGUAGUC